CAAUGCAACGGUCGUAAAUUUAGUCGGGUACUAUACCCCUGCUACGUCCCGACUAAGGCCUUGCGCCCGAGCAAUGCAACCGGGUCCUUGUCAAACUCGGGUCAAACCUUGGUUCAAAGGUUACAAACGCACUGCGACCCUUCAUACGCGUCACUGCGGCCAAGAGUGGGCUGACCUUGACGCGGCAGGUCAGCGAGGUCACAGCGCUGUUCAGCGGGCAGCCUCCUGCACCACGUGCAAGUCACGUGACACUCACAGCAACACGCUUGUCUCGUCAACGUUUUCAUUUGCAGACUCUGCAGUCACAGUAGGAUACAGUGUGGAUGGAGCUGCUGAUGACGGCAUCAACACACGUGACAAGACCAGACCAAACCAAGUCGAGACAAAGAAAGAAGAGUAUAGCGAGUUUACAUCUAUACCUGUUGUAACAGAUGAUUGCACGGUUACUUUGGUGUCUGCACCUGCAGCAGCACAUCUUGAAGCUGCCAGCAGACCACAACAAGCGGAAUGAGGGAAGAGUGUAGGCCACCCUGGCUUACAUCGCUGUCACUUCGUCCAGAAACUUUUGUUGACCUUUGUCCUGGUUCCGGCGCCGAAAUGAACAGGAGCAGUUCACUCUGAUCAGCGCCUAAUCUUCACCGCAGCCAGCGCGGCGGCCUCAGCCUCUGCAGCAGUCAGUCUGAAUCUGACCCCUUGACCCCGACCCCCACCCCAUCUACAGCAACAGCACCAACAACAGCCGCUGAUCGUUCACCGGGGUCGUCCCCUCCUCCUCCCCUCCAGUCGAUGACCCUCCCCCAAAGUAAAAGGCCGAACCUGCCUGAAGGGAAGGGAGUUAAUCCGGGUUUCAUCGGUAACCACCCCUCCUACUCCCCCCUCCUAUCCAUAGCUUAGCUUGGUGGAUGCUGGAGGAGGGGUGGAGGAUGGGAUGGUAGAUUGACAGGUGGGGGGUACGGCUGGCUGCUGCCCGUUCGGUCCAACAGGCCACCAGGCUCCGCGCACGCGCACUGCACGCGACGCAGCGGAAGCUGACAUCCAAUCUCUUGUCAACGUGGCCGCUUGAUGCUCGCGCCGCCCGGCGGGUCCUGCACGCCCCACCUCACCGUGUCACGGGUAGGUCGCUCAUCCGCGGCGACGUCCUCAAGUCGCAGGUCAAUUGGUGUUCAAUGGGACAGAAAAAGACAAGACCACACCACGCCCACCCCACAACAAAUCGUGUUUUGUCAGGUCAUGUGUUUGCCACUUCCGACAGCCACCGGAACAACUUGUGCACAGCAGCCUCGAAAGUUCUUUGAAAAGUUGGUGGAGACCGGGACUGUGCAGCGCCAUCGUCUUGCCUCGCGCCGGAAACUAAUAUCGGGAGAAAAGGGAGAUCAUCCAAGUGGGUGAGUGGAAUCAACGGAGGACGUAAUUACGUCACUGUCUUGGGUGCCGAGGGUGUGACGGUUGUCUUCGCCUGGCUCGGGUAGCGACAAGGGACAGCACUCUGAUGCAGAUAAAUGGGACUCCACUCGGCAAACGCAAACCCGAUCGGCCAGUGACAUCGAUUAGUUGACCCUUCAACUGGAUGGACAGGUCGAUAGCGGGGUAUAAUCAAUAUAUCGGCUGAGACAAGGGGAGAGUAUGUUUUUAUCAUUUCUUGUUUAAGCGGCUGUACAACUUCUGGAUUUUCUUAAACUUGCAGAAUGCCCUCGCGUUGUCUCGUUGUGUUCCAGAGAUCCUUUGGACUUAUUGUUAGCUAGUCUGUCCGCAUGUCAGUACUAGCAUGCAUACUAACAUGCACACACGCACGCGCACACAUAGUCUCCUUAAACACACACUUCAACCGGUUGGUAGGACCAUUCCACAGAAACCGCAUUUGAUGAACCAUUAUCAUCGGUGUUGUCCACGAGGUCUUUGUCGACAGACAUGUCUGCCACGACCUUACAUUAUUGCUCUCGCAGCAGUUUACACCAACACCACUGGGUCACAGUAAACUGGUGUUGACAG